rnacentral:rRNA from 1 species
UACGUAGGGGGCAAGCGUUGUCCGGAUUUAUUGGGCGUAAAGAGCUCGUAGGCGGUUGAGUAAGUCGGGUGUGAAAACUCUGGGCUUAACCCAGAGCCGCCACUCGAUACUGCUCUGACUUGAGUUCGGUAGGGGAGCAGGGAAUUCCUAGUGUAGAGGUGAAAUUCGUAGAUAUUGGGAAGAAACACCGGUGGCGAAGGCGGCUAUCUGGACCGUAACUGACGCUGAGGCGCGAAAGCGUGGGGAGCAAACAGG